CCGCACAAGCGGUGGAUGAUGUGGAUUAAUUCGAUGCAACGCGAAAACUUACCUACCCUUGACAUGUCCGGAAUCCCGAAGAGAUUUGGGAGUGCUCGCAAGAGAACCGGAACACAGGUGCUGCAUGGCUGUCGUCAGCUCGUGUCGUGAGAUGUUGGGUUAAGUCCCGCAACGAGCGCAACCCUUGUCAUUAGUUGCCAUCAUUUGGUUGGGCACUCUAAUGAGACUGCCGGUGACAAACCGGAGGAAGGUGGGGAUGACGUCAAGUCCUCAUGGCCCUUAUGGGUAGGGCUUCACACGUCAUACAAUGGUCGGUACAGAGGGUUGCCAACCCGCGAGGGGGGGCUAAUCCCACAAAGCCGAUCGUAGUCCGGAUCGCAGUCUGCAACUCGACUGCGUGAAGUCGGAAUCGCUAGUAAUCGUGGAUCAGCAUGUCACGGUGAAUACGUUCCCGGGUCUU
rnacentral:rRNA from 1 species